rnacentral:rRNA from 1 species
CUCGUAGGCGGUUCGUCGCGUCCGGUGUGAAAGUCCAUCGCUUAACGGUGGAUCCGCGCCGGGUACGGGCGGGCUUGAGUGCGGUAGGGGAGGCUGGAAUUCCCGGUGUAACGGUGGAAUGUGUAGAUAUCGGGAAGAACACCAAUGGCGAAGGCAGGUCUCUGGGCCGUCACCGACGCUGAGGAGCGAAAGCGUGGGGAGCGAACA